UACGAAGGGGGCUAGCGUUGCUCGGAUUGACUGGGCGUAAAGGGCGCGUAGGCGGUUCGUACAGUCAGACGUGAAAUUCCCGGGCUCAACCUGGGGGCUGCACUUGAUACGUAUGGACUGGAGUGGGGAAGAGGGUCGUGGAAUUCCCAGUGUAGAGGUGAAAUUCGUAGAUAUUGGGAAGAACACCGGUGGCGAAGGCGGCGACCUGGUCCUUGACUGACGCUGAGGCGCGAAAGCGUGGGGAGCAAACAGG
rnacentral:rRNA from 1 species